rnacentral:rRNA from 1 species
AGGGCACCACCAGGAGUGGAGCCUGCGGCUUAAUUUGACUCAACACGGGAAAACUCACCCGGCCCGGACACCGUAAGGAUUGACAGACUGAGAGCUCUUUCUUAAUUCGGUGGGUGGUGGUGCAUGGCCGUUCUUAGUUGGUGGAGCGAUUUGUCUGGUUAAUUCCGAUAACGAACGAGACUCUGGCCUAUUAAAUAGACGAUAUAUCUAUCUAGUAUAUCGCGCUUCUUAGAGGGACAAGCGGCGUCCAGCCGCAUGAAAUAAAGCAAUAACAGGUCUGUGAUGCCCUUAGAUGUCCGGGGCUGCACGCGCGCUACACUGAAAGAAUCAGCGUGCGUUUUACCUAGUUCGGAAGAACCGGGUAACCCAAGUAAAUUCUUUCGUGCUUGGGAUAGGGAAUUGCAAUUAUUUCCCUUGAACGAGGAAUUCCCAGUAAAUGCGGGUCAUAAGCUCGCGUUGAUUACGUCCCUGCCCUUUGUACACACCGCCCGUCGCUACUACCGAUUGGAUGACUUAGUG